UAGUCAUAUGAACUAUUACUUCAAAGGUCAUUAAAGAUUGAUGAUUGAGAAGAAUAAAUACUUAAUUUUACAAUUCAAAUUGGUUAUAAUGUAGUAAAAAAAAGUAUCGGACGAGUGAAAAUGUGCAUUUUCUGUAAAGUUGUUUAAUUAAUUUCAUUAUAAAAAGAAUGACUGAUGGGCUGCUGAUGAGAAUCAUUUUCUAAAAUAAAAUUUUUAUUGAUUCUUAGUUAAUGAAACCCCUUGAAGGAUAACUUGCAUAACGAAAAGUGAUUCGCAUACAAAAAAGUGGACUGUAUUAUGGUAUCGGAAAAAUAUGUCACAUUGCCAAAAAGCUUCAACUGGUUGAGGUCAUUGGAGGUAAAACACACAAGUUAAAUGAUCUACGUGAUGAGUAAUAGCAGAUAUCAGAAGUUCUUCAUAACAUUUUCUAAUGAUCAGAAAUGAAUUCAUUUAAAUGAGACUAAUUAAUAUUCAUAGUCUUUAUGGUGAAGAAUCUCAUUAUUUUUUUUCUCCAAUGAACAAAAAAGGAUUAUAUCCCUUAAUUAAAGGAAUUAUUUGAAUUUGAUCAACAAAUUAUGUGUGUAUGAUCCGUAUGACAUUGACAUGUAAAUUGUACUCAGUCAGCAUGUUAAUUCUGGUAAUAUUUCUCAAUGUUUGCGUAACGCAUGAAAAAAAAAACUAUCGAUCUAAAAGUAAAACAACAAAUAUAAUAGAAGAGUGCUGGGAAACUGAUACCUUGAAUCAGUGUAAGAAUAAAUAUGUUCUCAUAAAUUCUCUAUUAAAAAUUCAAUGAAUUUUUUAAUCAUCCGUUCAGGUAUUUCUUUAUCAAUAUCUUGAUCAAUGCCAUUCUUCAUUAUAAUACCAAUUAUGACUCGAGUUUUUACGUCACGAAAUUAACAGUAGCUUCUAAAAUGGCACUAGACAUCCUGUAUUGGUGACAAUUAAGUCAAUGCAUGUCUGGAGCAUCAAUAACUCAAGUAUUUUGUUACUGACUCCAAAACAAUCUGACUGUGUUGAUUAAAAAAAAAAAACAAAAAACAAAGUGGUCAAGAAAAAAGUUGAAAUCCUUGUCAGAUUAUAGGAAAAAAAUUAUUAAAAAAAUUAUGAAGACGAUCGGAGGUUGAUUGAUGAAGACAUCUAAAAGGAGCCUACUAAUUUAUAUAUUAUUUCAUUUCAAUGUUAUCCAAUAAAAAUACUUUUGUUCCAGACAAUAAAAAAUCAGGUUAUUUUUUUUAUUAAAUAAAAACAGAAAUUAAAAAGUGACAGAGAUGUAAAAUAAAUAUGUUCAAGUACUAGGAUAUUUUUUCAUGAAGCUAUGUGUUGAUCUUACAAACCUCGUGGUCCACUUAUUGCUUCAGGAAGCAAGAAAAUCGCAAUUCUACGUAAAUCGCGAGAGUAAGCCGAGAGUUUCACGCUUUGUGUAGCAAAGCAUUUAAAGUGAAACUUAAACUAUGUUUUCAAUUAAUGUAAUAAAUAUAAAAUCAGCACUAAAAUAUGAGAAUACAAAAACAAGAAAAAUUUUUAGCUUGAAAUUAGGAUAUUAUUACUUUGUUGAAUUAAUGAUUUGCUAUAUGAGCUAAUGGUGAGGUAGGAAUUCUUUGAAGUCAGUUAGAUACAUUCUAACAUUUCUUAAAGACCUUGAAUAAUAACAAUGAACAAUAGCUGUUUGUGGUGAACGAUAGGUGAUUGUUAAUGCAGUUUAAAGUUACGUGGAUCAAAUAUAUUACUCGAAUUUUUUAACAAUAAUAUUAUAUUUAAAAUUUUUAACUCUAUUAAGAUUGAAUAAUGUUUUAAGAUAAAUAGGUAAAGCAAAAUUUUUUUAGAAACUUAAAUUUGUUAUAAUUAAUUAUUUCAUGGAACUAGUUUAAUUGUAUAAUUACUCUGAUAAAGUGAUAAUUACUGCAAUUAUGUCUGCAUAUUUAUCAACCAUGCAAAUAUGAAUUGGUUUGGUUAUAAAAAUAUGAGAAACUGCAAGAAAGAAUGAUUUUUAGAAUAAAAUAUAUACGUAUUUGUUUUCAACUAAAAUUUAUUUGAUUUCUAGGAUAAUAAAUUAUUAAAAAAUAAAAUAACUUUAAGCAUUCAUAAAUUAUGUUGCAAAUUCUUGUGAUUGUUAGUUGGGUACAAAAAAAAAACUAACGUCAUCUAAGCACUUUACUUCAUUAUCAUGACUGCUUUGUAACCCAAGGAUAGUCAUAGGGAGGUAGAAUAGUCGGAAAGAGAUUUAGAGAGAAAUAUACAAAAAGAAAUAAGAAAAAGGAUUCUGAAAAAUAUGCUGAGAAACAUGUCUAGUCAAUUCAACUUGGCUCUGACGUAAAUACAGUUUAUAUGUACCUAUACACUCGAACUUCAACCUUAUCCAAAGGUUGAUUCGUGCUUGUUAAUUUUUUUUUUUUCUUGUAUUAAAAAAUAUUUUUUAUUUCAAACAUCAUCUUUA